rnacentral:sRNA from 1 species
GCACUCAAGUAUCUACCGAGACCCAACCACUGGACAAGGUCUUCUGGGCAACCCAACGAAACAUAAAACCGUCUUCCCAGCCUCGAUCAGAGAGCGAGCAGGAGAAAGAGAAGCCAGAGGAGAGAUUGGGACUGUCCAAGAAAUAGGAGACGGCCAGGACAGGAAGAGGGACCACAGCCAGGGGAGGGAGGGUUUCCAAAAAGGAGGACGUGGGAAAUCUGUAGAGAAGUCGACCGAGAAGUGAGAUGCGGUGGCGACCUCGGAGCGCGCCGGGUGUGCGCGCUGCUGGGGCCUCUGGGGAGCGGCGCGGCGGGGACGGAGGAGAGCUCGGAGCCCGGGGCUGCAACUGGGCAGAGAAAGAUGGGGACCAGGGAGGUCUUUGGGUCCAGGAAGUUUUCCUGGAGGCUCAGGUCUAGAGCCUGCCUGAAGAAAAAUUAGACAUCUUGAAGACACUGGGAAAUAUAUAAGGUGCCAGUGCCCAACUCAUUCUCAUACUUACUCCCAAGAUGGCUGUUUCAAAUAUUAGAUAUGGAGCAGGAGUUACAAAGGAAGUGGGAAUGGCAAGUAUUCAAGAUGUCUACGGUCUCCUACUGUAAAUGUUACAUAUCUCACAAGACACAUGCUAAAUGACAACAAUCACAUCCUCUAUUUUUAAAAAUGUACAAUGUGAGUUUGCCAGAAGAGUCUAUUGCAGUUCUAGUGGAGUUGAACCUAACUUAUAGGUUUUCUUGUAGGACCUAAAAAACAUGGGUGCUAAAAAUGUGUGCUUGAUGACAGACAAGAACCUCUCCAAGCUCCCUCCUGUGCAAGUAGCUAUGGAUU